rnacentral:rRNA from 1 species
GACGAACGCUGGCGGCGUGCCUAAUACAUGCAAGUUGAGCGCUGAAGGUUGGUACUUGUACCAACUGGAUGAGCAGCGAACGGGUGAGUAACGCGUGGGGAAUCUGCCUUUGAGCGGGGGACAACAUUUGGAAACGAAUGCUAAUACCGCAUAAAAACUUUAAACACAAGUUUUAAGUUUGAAAGAUGCAAUUGCACCACUCAAAGAUGAUCCCGCGUUGUAUUAGCUAGUUGGUGAGGUAAAGGCUCACCAAGGCGAUGAUACAUAGCCGACCUGAGAGGGUGAUCGGCCACAUGGGGACUGAGACACGGCCCAAACUCCUACGGGAGGCAGCAGUAGGGAAUCUUCGGCAAUGGACGAAAGUCUGACCGAGCAACGCCGCGUGAGUGAAGAAGGUUUUCGGAUCGUAAAACUCUGUUGGUAGAGAAGAACGUUGGUGAGAGUGGAAAGCUCAUCAAGUGACGGUAACUACACAGAAAGGGACGGCUAACUACGUG